CACCAUCACCCUGGUAAAAAGUCACCUGGUCUCAGACCAAGCUAAACUGAGUAAGACUGUGGCCGUCAGGGUAGCCGGGGGAGCAGUAUACCGGUGUGAUGCUUUUGUGUAAUGUCUCUUUAAUUGGAACUCAACUGCAGAAACAAUAAGUUUCACCUCCUUUAUUUUAUUGAAGUGAACAAGGUAGACUGUAUCUUAAAAUACACAUGCAAGGAAAAAAUGCAAUGCUUAUUUGUCAACAGAGAGGUUAAAGAAAAUAAAAUACUAUAAUAAAUUAAUAUGACUUGCUUUCCUUGGCAAAAAGAUUUACUUAACUUAGAAGCACUCUGGCACUGGAAGGGUUAAUUCACCCGAUGGAGGAAGAGGAAGGAGUCUCUUUUAACAAACUGCAGUUUAGUAAUGAGAGAAAGGAAGUCCGUUUGUCCAAGCCGAGGUCUGAGAGAGGAGAAGGUACAAAUCCGUUUACAAGCCGAGGUCUAAGGAGAGGAGAAGGCAGAAUUCCGUUUAUAAGCCGAGGUCUGAGAGAUGAGAAGGUAGAAUUCCGUUUACAAGCCGAGGUCUGAGAGAUGAGA